CACGUAGGGUGCGAGCGUUGUCCGGAAUUAUUGGGCGUAAAGAGCUCGUAGGCGGUGUGUCGCGUCGGCCGUGAAAACCUGCAGCUUAACUGUGGGCGUGCGGGCGAUACGGGCAGACUGGAGUACUGCAGGAGAGACUGGAAUUCCUGGUGUAGCGGUGGAAUGCGCAGAUAUCAGGAGGAACACCGGUGGCGAAGGCGGGUCUCUGGGCAGUAACUGACGCUGAGGAGCGAAAGCGUGGGGAGCGAACAGG
rnacentral:rRNA from 1 species